rnacentral:rRNA from 1 species
ACAUGUCUUUUUGAGAAAAAUUUAAAGUCGGGCCUGCCCACUGAGAUAUUGAAGGGCCGCGGUAUUUUGACCGUGCAAAGGUAGCAUAAUCAUUAGUCUUUUAAUUGAAGGCUGGAAUGAAUGGUUUGACGAAGUAUUAACUGUCUUUUUAUAAAAUGUGGAAUUUAACUUUUAAGUUAAAAGGCUUAAAUAAUAAUAAAGGACGAGAAGACCCUAUAGAGUUUUAUAUAAGUAAUGAAUAAAUUUAUUUGGAAGUUGAGAUUUUUAUUUAAAAUUUAUAUUGUGUUGGGGUGACAUAAAGAUAUAAGAAACUCUUUAUUAUUUAUACAUAAAUUUAUGGUUAAUUGAUCCAUUAUUAAUGAUUAUAAGAUAAAAUUACCUUAGGGAUAACAGCGUAAUUUUUCUAAAGAGUUCAUAUCGAAAGAAAAGUUUGCGACCUCGAUGUUGGAUUAAGAUAAUGGUUAGGUGUAGCAGCUUAAUUAAUAAGUCUGUUCGACUUUUAAAAUCUUAC